UAGGCCAAUUUCAAUUAAUUUUGGACCAAUUUCAAGAGAUUGUGACGGGCAACGACUAUAUAGGUGUUGUAGAGGAGACAAUGGCGCAUCGUUUAAGAAAAUCUCCAGAGCGGUUUAUGUUCGAAAAUCUGAAGUUACGAUUAAAAAACUGAAACUUUUAUUGUGAAAUUGACAAAAUGAGAUUAGGGGGGUAGGGCAAUUUAAGUUAAUUUUGGACCAAUUUUAAGAGAUUGUGACGGGCAACGACUAUAUAGGUGUUGUAGAGGAGACAAUGGCGCAUCGUUUAAGAAAAUCUCCAGAGCGGUUUAUGUUCGAAAAUCUGAAGUUACGAUUAAAAAACUGAAACUUUUAUUGUGAAAUUGACAAAAUGAGAUUAGGGGGGUAGGGCAAUUUAAGUUAAUUUUGGACCAAUUUUAAGAGAUUGUGACGGGCAACGACUAUAUAGGUGUUGUAGAGGAGACAAUGGCGCAUCGUUUAAGAAAAUCUCCAGAGUGGUUUAUGUCGAAAAUCUGAAGUUACGAUUAAAAAACUGAAACUUUUAUUGUGAAAUUGACAAAAUGAGAUUAGGGGGGUAGGGCAAUUUAAGUUAAUUUUGGACCAAUUUUAAGAGAUUGUGACGGGCAACGACUAUAUAGGUGUUGUAGAGGAAACAAUGGCGCAUCGUUUAAGAAAAUAUCCAGAGUGGUUUAUGUUCGAAAAUCUGAAGUUACGGUUAAAAAACUGAAAUUGUGAAAUUGAGAAAAUGAGAU